rnacentral:rRNA from 1 species
AUUGAACGCUGGCGGCAGGCCUAACACAUGCAAGUCGAGCGGAUGAAGGGAGCUUGCUCCCGGAUUCAGCGGCGGACGGGUGAGUAAUGCCUAGGAAUCUGCCUGGUAGUGGGGGAUAACGUCGGGAAACGGGCGCUAAUACCGCAUACGUCCUGAGGGAGAAAGUGGGGGAUCUUCGGACCUCACGCUAUCAGAUGAGCCUAGGUCGGAUGAGCUAGUUGGUGGGGUAAAGGCCUACCAAGGCGACGAUCCGUAACUGGUCUGAGAGGAUGAUCAGUCACACUGGAACUAAGACACGGUCCAGGCUCGUACGGGAGGCAGCAGUGGGGAAUAUUGUACACUGGGCGAAAGCCUGAUCCAGCCACGCCGCGUGUGUGAAGAAGGUCUUCGGAUUGUAAAGCAAUUUAAGUUGGGAGGAAGGGCAGUAAGUUAAUACCUUGCUGUUUUGACGUUACCAACAGAACAAGCACCGGAUAACUUCGU